UCGGGAAUUUUGGGCAAUGGGCGAAAGCCUGACCCAGCAACGCCGCGUGAGGGAUGAAGUAUUUCGGCAUGUAAACCUCGAAAGAAUGGGAAGAAUAAAUGACGGUACCAUUUAUAAGCUCCGGCUAACUACGUGCCAGCAGCCGCGGUAAUACGUAGGGAGCAAGCGUUGUUCGGAUUUACUGGGCGUAAAGGGCGCGUAGGCGGCGCGGUAAGUCACUUGUGAAAUCUCUGAGCUUAACUCAGAACGGCCAAGUGAUACUGCUGUGCUAGAGUGGGGAAGAGGCAACCGGAAUUCUUGGUGUAGCGGUGAAAUGCGUAGAUAUCAAGAGGAACACCAGAGGCGAAGGCGGGUUGCUGGGCCGACACUGACGCUGAUGCGCGAAAGCCAGGGGAGCAAACG
rnacentral:rRNA from 1 species